rnacentral:pre_miRNA from 1 species
AAAUAAUCCAUCAUCCAAUCACAUUAGAGAUAAGUGAGUUGGAAAUAAAUUAAUAAAUAAAAUAUAGAAAUUUCAACUCACUUAUCUUCUAUGUGAUUGGAUGAUGAGUUAUUUA